GACGGAGGGUGCUAGCGUUGUUCGGAAUGACUGGGCGUAAAGGGCGCGUAGGCGGCUCGUGAAGUCGGGUGUGAAAGCCCGGGGCUCAACCCCGGAACGGCAUCCGAUACUGGCGGGCUUGAGACCGGGAGAGGAGGGUGGAAUACCCAGUGUAGAGGUGAAAUUCGUAGAUAUUGGGUGGAGCACCGGUGGCGAAAGCGGCUCUCUGGCCCGGAUCUGACGCUGAGGCGCGAAAGCGUGGGGAGCAAACAGG
rnacentral:rRNA from 1 species